CCCCUAGAGGAGCCUGUUCUAUAAUCGAUAAUCCACGAUCUACCUCACCAUCUCUUGCCAAUACCGCCUAUAUACCGCCGUCACCAGCCUACCCUAUGAAGGAUAUAAAAGUAGGCAAAAUCGCACAACAGCUAACAAGUCAGGUCAAGGUGUAGCUUACUGAGAUGGAAGAAAUGGGCUACAUUUUCUAAACUAGAAAUCAUUUCACGGAAAGAACUAUGAAACAAGUUCUAUAAGCAGGAUUUAGCAGUAAAUAGGGAGCAGAAUGCCCAAUUUAAGCCGGUCCUAAGGUACGC
rnacentral:rRNA from 1 species